GUUGAAGCAUCAGUUCCCGUACGAUUAAUGAAGUUAAGCAACGUCGAGCCUUGUCAGUACCUAGAUGGAUGACGGCUUGGGUAUACCAGGUGCUGUAAG